rnacentral:rRNA from 1 species
GUGUCAGCAGCCGCGGUAAUACGUAGGUGACAAAUGUUAUCCGGAAUUACUGGGCGUAAAGGGUCUGUAGGCGGACGUUUAGGUCUGGUGUGACAUCUCGCGGCUUAACUGCGAGCGAGCGCCGGAAACCGGACGACUAGAAUCACGUCGAGGUCGGUGGAAUUCCCGGUGUAGUGGUGGAAUGCGUAGAGAUCGGGAGGAACCUCGAAAGCGAAGGCAGCCGGCUAGACGAUGAUUGACGCUGAGGGACGAUAGCGUGGGUAGCAAACAGGAUUAGAAACCCGCGUAGUCC